CUAGAGCAGAAAUACGGCUACUACCACUGCAAGGACUGCAACAUCCGCUGGGAGAGCGCCUACGUGUGGUGCGUCCAGGGCACGAACAAGGUGUAUUUCAAACAGUUCUGCAGGACUUGUCAGAAGUCGUACAACCCUUACCGGGUAGAGGACAUCACCUGUCAAAGAUGUAAACAAACAAGGUGUUCCUGCCCAGUAAGACUGCGCCACGUGGACCCCAAACGGCCCCACCGCCAGGACCUGUGUGGGAGGUGCAAAGGCAAACGCCUGUCCUGCGACAGCACUUUCAGCUUCAAGUACAUCAUCUGAGUCGAUGUUAGCGGCACAGUCCCCAGGGACAUCCACUGGGAGCGCCCGCAGCGUGCCUGUACCCCUGCUCCUCCCGGCCCUUCCCCGCCAAGUGGCCAAAGGCAGUGUCUUCUGACAAGGCCUUCAAAUAAAGGUAUUGCAAAGUAAGCCAAACUGCAGAAACUCUUGUCUAUUCAAAGACAAUUUUUAGGAGGGGCCAGCAGGUGGCAUGGUGGUU